CCAAAGCAAGAACAAAGGAAGAAAAAGAAGAACAAAACCCUAGGUGGAAAAAUUCAAGGAAAAAGUGUGAAAAUUCAAGGAAACAAGUGAAAAAAAGGUAAGAUUUUUCAAUUAAGCUUGAGAUCUCUCUUUCUUAAGCAUUUUUCUUAUUUUUCAUGGUUUAAUCACAUGAAAUCAUGAUGGGUCUCUUGCUGGCCGAACACUUAGAGAGAGAUUUUGAUGGUUGAUUUAGUUAGAUUUCAAUGUAUUUUAGUGUUUUUAGUUAGUUAGUGAUGUGUAGUAUGAAAAGCCAACAAGAAAAAUUCACUUCCUCCCAUUGAAAAGCCAACAAGAAAAAUUCACUUCCUCCCAUCACUCAUCAUUGGCCGAAUUCUCCAUGUAGAAUAUUGAUGAUGAUUUUGAUUUUAUUUCAAGUGAUUUGGUUCAGAAUUAGUGAUUUAUGGUGUGAGAAUCAAGCUUGAAAAAUUAUAGUGUUGAUGCACCCACCAUGGCCGAAUUUUCUAAGAGAAAAUGUGAGGAUGAUUUUGCCAUAUUUCAAGUUAUUUAAUUUAUGUUUGAUGAUUUGGAGUAUUGGGAGAGAAAUGGAAUUAUUUGGAGUUGAAUUGGACGUAUUGGCCAAUUAAUCGGGUGAUAGAUCGAAUUAGGCCAAUACCAUUUUAUUUAGGUACAUAAUUAAAUUUAUAUUGAACACCAUAUUUAGAUAGUUACCCGAGUAUUUCACAUCCUAUUUCAUGCAUUAGUAUAGAGCCUAAAUUGGUUUUAUAACAAUUUAGCACAAAUGUAGUAAAUGGCUUAUUGGCAUUAUGUUUAAGUGGUGAAUCCUCCAAAAAAGGGCAAAGAAAUUGCACCCGAGGAUCAAUAGUCAGAGUACUCCGAAAUUCAAACUCCUAAUACAGUGAGUAACCUUAUUAUCGUCUUAAUUAUCUAAAGUAGUUUUAUUCGUUUUUGUGAUUUGAUAGAAAAAUGAGUUUAAAUGGUAAAUCUUUAUGUUUUAUAAGCAAAUGUGAUUAAAUGAAAUGAUUUUAUAAAAUUGUCUUGAGAUUGAAAGAUGGUUUUGAAAAUGGAGUAAUUGGAGACUAAUUGCUGUGUUAUAAAUCAUGGUUUGAAUUGAAUGGCUUAUGAUAAUAUUGGCAUGAAUGGUUGGAUUUGGUAAAUGUGCUGAAAAAGUAUGAACUAUUGAUUUGCCGUUAGAGGCUGUAAAAUGAAAUAAUUGCCAUGUCAUGCUGUUGAAUUUUAUUGAAUUGGUGGGUUAUAAUUGGUCGCUGCAGUGGACGGGUUUCGUGGAUCAGCCUAUUAGAAGGGCACAGUAACCCUAUUAUAUUCAUACCUCAGUAUGAGAGGCGUGGUUGGAUAACUCCUGAGGUUAAAACUUUAGAGUUCACUUCAUGCCAAACCACCACGUAAGGGUGAACUCAGCCAACGCCAAGGAACGGCUAUAUUUUCAAAAUAAAAACAUGAUUUAUGCGUACAUAACGUUUUAACAGCCUUGGCAGAGUCAGUUCGAAUAGCCCUCAGCCAAGGUAUCUGUCACAACCCGAAACUCCCAUUGAGCCCGUGACAACCGCCACGAAGUCUCGUCAAACAUUCUUUACCCAAAAUGCUGACCGAAACCUUGCCAGGCUUUCGUAUCAGUUUUCUUACCUCCCCUGUGAUCGACAGUAACUAAAAUAGUGUUUUGAAACGAUAUGGACCAUUUUCCCAUCCAAAAACAAUGAAAAUUUAUUUCUGUCUCACAAGAGUAUUUUAGUCAUUUUUUUUCUUUUCUUUUCCAAAUAUUCCAAAAUCUGUAAAAAAAUGUAAUAUGUAAGUGGAAACUCAUAUUUUAUGAUUUAAAUUAAAUUUUUAAGUCUAAAACAUUCGUUUAAAGUAAAAUUAUAGCUAUUUGAAUAUAAUAAAAACAUUAAAUAAAAUAUUCUAUUUUCUUAAAAUACAAUAUUUUCAAAGUCUUCCUAAAAUAACUUUUGUAGUGUAAGAGUAAAAUAAAUUUAUUCAUAUAGUAAUAAAGAUAAUUAAAGUAUGAAAUUUCGUUUACAGUGAUACAUGGGCCCCCAAUUGUCCAAGAAGGUGUAAGGCUACGAACCCUUACUUUUUAGGAUACAACUCCGAGAUUAAUUCUCGUCUUAAUCAACUAUCAACAAACUGUCCUGAGCCUGAAAAAUACAUAAAAAGAGGGGUGAGAUUACAUAAUCCCAGUGAGUAAACAAUUACCAUCAAAAGCAUCUAAAGUCGAGUAGACGGAGACAAUAUAAAAACGUUAUAUCUCAAUAAUGUUCAUAACGCAAAAUUCGUUUCAAUCUAUACCAAAUAAUUUCUUUUCAUCAAAAUUUCCCUGGUUUAUGAGUUUCUUAAACUUGGCCCUUGCCAAAAUCAUUCUCGCGGGUACCUUUGUCAAGGUAUCCCACUGAGACCGCCAAGGCUAUUAAAUGUCUCAUACCCAUAAAACAUGUUUUCGCAUCUGACACACAGCCAUUCCUUGGCGUUGGCUGAGUCUCAUUCUCACGUGGUGGCCCGAACGUGAGGUGCACUCAAAUCUUAUCUCAGCAGAUACUUUAUCUAACAUCUCCCCCCGGAGGUAAGUAUAUAAUUGGGUUACCGUGCCCCUCUCAUCGACAGUCCACGAAAACCCCCACCACUGCAGUGACCGUUUAUUAUACCACUAGACCCAUAAAAUUUUCAGUAACAUAAUAUGGCGAAUAAAAUUUAAUCCAGUCUACUGAGACCAAUCUAAAACUGUUCAUAUAUUUCAUGCCAACCCCAAAAAUUUAGCCAUCAUGCUACCAUAGUGUCAUAAGCCACAAUUUCAAUAACAUAUAAAAUCAUAAAUUCAACACAGUCUCUAUAUACUCAAUUUUCCCAAAAUAAUAUUUGAUUUCAAAACCAGUAUAAAUCUCAUUUUUAUUUAAAAAACAUUUUAAUUGAAAAACAUAAUAUUUUAUAAUUUAAACUCACCAUUCAAUAAAAGCAUCAAACAAGUAUAAUUACUCUAGAUAUUUAAGACGACAAAUUGUCCACUCACAAUAUUAGGAGUAGAAAUACUCCUAUUUUCAGUCCGCGGGUACAGUCCUUUACCCGUAUCCAAUGGCUCACCACCUAACCAUAAUCCAUGACACAUAUUCCAAUUAAAUUAUGUCUAAUAGUCAUAAGCUAUUUUAGGCUCGAUGUAUAUGCGUGAUAUGAAAUGAAAAAUGCACGAGUAGCCAUCUAAACCCGGUAUUGUCCUAAGUCGAUUUUUCAUCCGAUAAAUUGGCCAAUGCGUCCAAUUUCACUCCAACUUGCUCCAUUUCUUUUCCAAUUCCUCAAUUCACCAAAAACUAUUAUUUCUUAAUCAAAUCAUGUAGAAUAACAUCCCAUUCUUCCUCAUUAUUCACUUAAAGAAUUCGGCUAUUGAUGGACACCAAACCUUUGGUGGUUUUCUUCACUUGUUUUCAUACUACACAUCAUUAAUCACUUAAAAACACUAACAUACUUAAAAAUCAAACCAAUCCAAGAUCAUUCUCUCUCCGUACCCAUUUUGCCCAGCCAUGAAUUCACCAUGAAAGCAUGCUUUUCAACCAUGGAAAUUAAGGGAAAAUGCAUAGGAAAAAUAGUUCAUAAACUAAAAUCAAGAAAUUUCACCUUUUCCACUUGAUUUUCUUGAAAAUCCACACUUUUCUCUUGAAUUUCUUUCCACCUAGGGUUUGUUCUUCUUUUUCCCUUUGUUUUCUUGCCAAAACCGACCCUUAUGAGAGAGAAAUGGCAGUGUGGGCUAAGUUUUAUAGUUAAAUUAUAUAAUAAUUUAAACUUGCCACAUAGCAUUUCAUGAUUGGUCCAUUUUUUUAAAUUCUUAUCUUUUAAGCUUUAAAUCUGCACCACACAUUAUUCAAGGGUCAAAAAUGAUGAUGGGUGAAGACCUUGUGCUGGAAAAAUGCUUUGGGGGUGCAAAAUUACCGUUUUGCCCCCGAGGUGGCAAAAUUACCAUUUCACCCUUAUAUUCCAAAUUAUACCGAAAUUAAAAUUUUUCACUUCUAAACCUCAAAUCAUACUCCAAUAAGUCAAAUGGGGCCAAAAAAUCUUUUCUAAAAAUUUUCAUUUUGUCCCUAGGUGGCAAAUGACCAUUUUGCCCCUAGAUAGUGAAAAUUUUGGUUUGACUCCAAAUUGAUCCUCGAACUCCGAAUUACCAUUUUCAGUCAUCCUUGGACUGUGAAACUCUUAAUUUAACCUUAAAAUUCCUAUUUGAACUAGUUCAAGGCUUAAUCGACUUAAUGAUACCAUUAGGGGCAAUAUCGUCUUUUAACGAUUACUCAAACUUCCUAAAUAUGCAAACAUUCUAUUGAGCAUGUAAAUGACGUCGUAAUUAUUUUAUAGAACAGGGUUUGCAAUAUCCCUGAUAACUGAGUAUGAGAAUGAUUUUGGCACGAGCCAAACUUUUCAGGAUAUCAUAAGCCUCGUUGUUUAUUUUGGUGAAAUGAAUCUAUUUUAUCUUAUUAAAAUGAGUUCGAAAUGUUAAGAAUCAAUUUUUAUGCUAAUCUAUUUUAUCUGUCUCCAUUUACUCAGUUUUAGAUAUUUUAGAUGGUAUUUGUUUACUCACUGCGAUUAUAUAAUCUCACCACCCUCUUUUCCACCCAUUUCAAGCUUAGGAUAGUCGGUAAAUAACUCAUUUCGUUGAGGGCUACAGUUGGACUUGCAUCCUCAAAAACUGUAGGUUUACCGCUUUUGAUACUUUUGGCCGUUCGUGGGCUCACGUGUCACUGUAAAUUAAAUUUUAUACUUUGGUUAUCUAUAUUACAGUAUGUAUGAAUUUAUUUAGCUUUUACGCUAAAAAAAAUUUUUUACCGGUAACUCUAUAAAUAAUGUUUUAUAAGAAAAUAUAAUAUUUUAUUAAAUAUUUUUAUUAUAUUCAAAUAGUUAUAAUUUCACUUUAAAUGAAUGUUUUAGAUAUCUAAACUUAUUUUUUAUUAUGAAAUAUGUGUUUUCUACUUGCAUACUACAUUUUUAGCUAGUUUCGAGAUUUUUGAGGAACAAUGACCAAAAUGCCCCUGUGAGAUAGAAAUCAUUUUUUAUUUAUUUAAGUUGGAAAUAGCUUAAAAUCUUUUAGAACAUGAUAUUUGGCAACGGUUACUCACAGGAGAAAUGAGAAACUGAUAUUAAAGCCUUGCAGGGUUCCGAUUGACAUUCUGAGUAAUGAAUGUUGAUUGGGACACUGCGACGAUUGUCAUUGGCUCGAGAGGAGUACUAGAUCGUGACAAUUAGAGUGGUAUCAGAGCUUUUGGUUUUAAAGAUUAGAGCUUUUGGUUUUAAAGUUGUUUUAAAAACUACAGUGACAGUGUGGCCCAAGUUAAGUUAAGUUAAGUUAGGUUUGAUAGAAUAGAAUACGUGCAUCUGCAUAUAGAAUUUGGAGUUGUUUAGACUCGUUCUGUUUCUUCUUAUAGAUCUUAUGGGAGCAUAAGUCAUAGACAGAGCGCUAUAUGAGCUCCUGUUCCCAGUAAUCCACUUCUUUGUUAAUGUCAUGCAAAUGUCAUAAGUAGGACCAUUGUCCGGGUUUAAGAUGCCACCCAUGACACGAGCCAGUGUUAGAGAGAUCUUAAAACAAAUGCUCCUAAUGAAAGAUUAAUGAAAUGAUAUAUCCCUCCGAUUAAGGAUGGAAAAAUUUGGAGUUGGACUAAUAGGCCAUGAUAAUUUAUUCAUUUGGUGGAGUUAUAAUUGAACUCAUGGUUGUCAAUUGGAAAAAGAUUUGGGGACUAUGGAUUGUAUUGGGGUUAAUAUAAAGGAGCACAUGUGAUAAUGGUAAUAAGGGGCGCACUUUGAUUAAAAUGAAUAGUGAUGGUUGUAAUUCACUUGGAGUGUAUAAAUUAAGCAUUGAGGUAAGAGUAAACCCAUACUUAUGUGCAUGAUGAUAAGAACACUAUGUUAAUUGAGCUUAUGCCCAUAUAAAAGUGGUGUUGGGAUUUUGAAAUAUUUUAUAUGUGAAUAUGUGUUGAAUAGGUACAGCAGCUUAGAGGGAACUGGUGUUGAUUUCAAUUAAGCGAUUGUGAGAUUUCAAGAAUUGAUUGGACCUAUUAUAGUUCAUGGAUAUAAGCACGUGAAUUAACUCGAGAGUGAGUAUCAAUGAUUACUAUAAUUGAUGUGUGGUCAUGAAGUAAGAAGUUAGUAAACAAAUCUGCUCUAAGGAUGAGCUUGAACUUUGCUAUGCAUAGCAGGGGGAGCCAAGGGAUUAAAGGACUAGAUGUGGAAUUGGCAGCUUGAGGUUAAAUGACUUGGAAAUGUCGAAUCUAGUCUAAGUGCCAUAUGAAGUUCUAUAAUUGAGACUGAUAUACGAAUUACUUGAAAGAUCAAUUUAAAAGUUUAUUCGGUUCAAAGUGUGGCCUAUGAUACGAAUGAUCAGUCUUGAAGGUGAUCUCCCCAGAGUAAGGAAUUUAGAAAAUGUUGAUGUUUGGAUAUACUCUAAGAGAGAGAACUUCUGCAUCCUAAGUUUAGGACAACUUUGAUCUUAUGAUCGCAAAGGCAAGGUGUAAUAACUAAGUAAAUUAUUCACUUAAUAAAUGUGAUUGGUUAUUGAUGAAUAAAGUCAAGAUCUUAACAUUUAGUGGUAUACAAUUUGAUAAUUAUGUAUUUAAGAGUUAUUUGGAGACAAUUCCUUCAUCAAAUUUGCACUAAAUGCUAUGGUAAAGGCAUAUCAAUGUUAAUAUGGAAAUGUAUCCAGGAAUGAUCUUAACAUACCACCAAAGGAGAAUUAAACAUGUUGAAAUUAAUGUUCUAAUAGUGUGCAUAUGAUAGAAAGCUAGUUUGUAAGUUGUAGUUUUCAUGAUCAUGAAAUAUAUAAAGAUUAUCAAUCUAUGGACAUACACUUGGAGUUGUAAUUUACAAGUUUGGAGUAUUAAAGAUAUUAUUAAAUGGAAUUAGCAUUAGUUAAGGUACGUAAAUCUUUUAAUUAAUUUCUGUGGAGUAUGCAUGAUAAUAGAAUGGAGGAACAUAGUGCCGUGAUACUAUAUGGUGAAGUUACUAUACAAUAUGGAAAGAGUAUUCUGAAGUGGGAUUUAUUAAUUGUUGACAAGUGUUAUAGGAUGAGAUGAAUUUGAAAAUAUUGACUUUACCUAUUAUAUGUGAUAAGCAUAAGAGGAUACAAAUGGUUAUGGAAAUUAUGACGUAAGCUUGGAGGGAAACCAAACGGUUGAGAAUGAUUAGUGUAGUAACCUUAAAUAUAGAUGAAUAACAUUGAUUAAGUAAACUCCAAGAGCCACCGUGCCGCGGUGCUAAGAACACUUCAUGUCUAGGACGCAUGAAUAAAAUGAGACAGAUGUGAAGUUGAACUUACGAGUUGACCUAAAGUCAUUGAACUUGAUUCUAAGUUUUGUUAACUGGAGUUUUAAGGUUUUGGAAGGUAUCGAUAUGAAUGAGUUAAAGUUGAAAUGGUUAAAGGCGUUCCCUUCGGCGGGGAGCAAAAGGUCUGAGGUUCAAAACUUGGCGAGAAGGUCUUGCAGGGCCUGUCGUGCCGCCCUUAGGCAUGGGGUUCCGAGUAAGUCAAGUGAUGGGGAUCCAGACAUAACAAUACCUUGGAGUGGGCCCCGAAGGGGAUGCCACAUAAAUGGCUAAGUUACGGGUUAAGUGAUCACAUGUUGUGAGACAUAAGUUUAAGUUAGAUGUCCCCAAGGAAAUACUCAAGAGAAGUUCUGCCAUGGAUCUCGUGAAAGCAAGCACUAAGUUAUAUGGUUAUAAAAAGAAAGCUGUAAGCUAAGAGUGAUAUUAGUAUUAAUAUUGAAAAAUACUUGAGGAGAAUCUAGUUUCAAGUCUUGUAAUUUCAAGUACAAUUUGUAAAUUGGUUAAGGAAUAAUGAUGUUAUAUUCGUAUGAAAGAAUGGAACAAAGGAUGAUUGAAGUUGACCUUGAUAAUAAAGUCAGAUAAUGAAACUUUCUUGAUAUAUUAUGGAAAUUGGAAUUCAAAAAUGCUUGAGGCAUACAUGAUUCAAAUGAGUCUGAGUUUUAAGUGACAAAUCAAUAUCGGAAUGCAAGAAGGAUACAAGGUAAUGUAGGGCAUGAAAGAUAAUCGAAGAAAAAGGAUGACUCUUAGGAAUUGUGGUAUUGCAUAAGAUGCAAUGAUCAAGUUAAGAUAAAUCUUUGAGGCAUCAAUGGGAUUAUAAAGCAUACACGCAUAAUAGAUUAUAAUUCAAUGGAGAUGACAUUGUGAUGCAAUGAUAUAUAGUACAAGGAAACUUAAGCAUAUAAUUGGAAAGGAUAAGAAGAGAGUAUAAGUAUGUAAAUGAUGUGGAACUAUGCACAGACGUGAUGAGAAUUUGUAUGAAUUAUGAAGAUUAUUCUAUUGAAUCUUGGUUAUGGAUGGGAAUGAACAAAGAGAAAUUAGUCUGAAGGCAUUUGAAAACAGAGACCCGUAUACUUAAUGAGGAAUAUGGACAUUUGAAUGUGCGUGUAUACGUGUGUGUGCAGAUAGUGAUGUACCCAACUAAAAUGAAGAAUGGUUUUAGUGGUUCGAGAUUUGAACUCAAUCUAUUUAAUAAGUUGUAUAGAUAAUGUAACGAUCAAGAAUCUUAUUAGAAGUCGAUUUAUGGUGACCUAAGGAAUUUUGGGAAAAUAGUUAAGGUAAUGUAAUCCAUAGUGCGAUUAAGCCAUAUGAGAUGGACUAAUAGGAUUAAGAAGAUUGAAAUUUCCUAAAUACAAGGUAAACAUGAAGUAUGUGGAAAUAAUUGAAGCCAUUAAUAUUUCCUAACGUUGAGGAUAUGUAUAAGAAUGAGUAUGGCAUGUUAAUGAUACUAUAAAGUACACAAUAUUGUAUGAAGAUGGAAUGAAUGAAAGUUGAGAAGUUUGAUAUGGAAUGAAGUAAUAAGAUAGAGAUUGGUAUACAAAAAUAAGUAUAAAAUGCGAUCGAAAUUGGUAUGAUUGAGAUGGAGUUAUGGUUCAAGUUUAAUGAUAGUAAUAGAAGCAUUCUUGGUGUCUCAAUAUAAAAGAUCAUAAUUGUGAAGAUUAUUGUUGAUCUGAUUUUAAAGGAUAAUAAUAGACAUAAGUGAAGUACUUGAGUUGAAUUGGAGGUAAAUGAGGUGAACAAAUCAAAAUUCCCUAUAAAGGAGAGGACAUAAGAAGUCGAGCAUUAGAUGAGAAAACAAUACCCUCACCUUUUCUCUGAGUUUAGUAAAUGAAAUUUUGAGGUCAAAAUUUUAUUUUAAAGGGGGGUAGUGCUAUCAAGCCCGGCUCUACAAUAUGUUUAUUAUGCCAUUCCUACAUAAGAAUGCAUGUUUGCUUACUUGAGUACCUUGAAAAUCGUUAAAGGACGGUAUUGUACCAAAUGGUACAAUUAAGUUGAAUUAAGCCUUGAACUAGUCCAAAUAGAGAUUUUAAGAUGAAAUUGAGAAUUUUAAAACCUCAGAAUGACUUAAAAUAGUGAUUCGGAGUUCGAGGAUCGAUUUGGAGUCAAAUUAGAAUUUUCAUGACCCAAGGGUAAAAUGGUCAUUUUGCCACCCGAGGUUAAGAUGUGAGUGUUGGAUUAAAUUUUUGACUAAGAUUGAUCAUUUGGAGUAUAAUUUGAGUUUGAGACGUGAAGAAUUUUAAUUUCGACAUUUUUUCGAGCAUAGAGGUAAAAUAGUCAUUUUGCCACCCCAGGGGCAAAAUUGUAAUUUUACACCACCCAACACUUGUCCAGCACAUGAAUUUCACCCAUUAUUAUCAUGGAUAAUUGAAGGAUUUUAUGUGGUGGAGAAAGAAAGCUUAAUAAUUAAGAAUUUAAAAAUGGACCAAUGAUAAGGUGACAAGUGUCAAGCUUUUAUUUCUUUAUUAUUUUCCUUAUAAAUUAGCACAAAACCAGCCCAUUUCUCUUCAUUAUGGCCGGCCAAAGCAAGAACAAAGGAAGAAAAAGAAGAACAAAACCCUAGGUGGAAAAAUUCAAGGGAAAAGUGUGAAAAUUAAAGGAAAUAAAUGAAAAAAAGGUAAGAUUUUUCAAUUCAGCUUGAGAUCUCUCUUUCUUAAGCAUUUUUUCUUAUUUUCCAUGGUUGAAUCACAUGAAAUCAUUAUGGGUCUCUUGCUGGCCGAACACUUAGAGAGAGAUUUUGAUGGUUGAUUUGGUUAGAUUUCAAUGUAUUUUAGGGUUGUUAGUUAGUUAGUGAUGUGUAGUAUGAAAAGCCAACAAGAAAAAUUCACUUCCUCCCAUCACCCAUCAUUGGCCGAAUUCUCCAUGUAAAAUAUUGAUGAUGAUUUUGAUUUUAUUUCAAGUGAUUUGGUUAGGAAUUAGUGAUUUAUGGUGUGAUAAUCAAGCUUGAAAAAUUAUAGUGUUGAUGCACCCACCAUGGCUGAAUUUUCCAAGAGAAAAUGUGAGGAUGAUUUUGCCAUAUUUCAAGUUAUUUAAUUUGUGUUUGAUGAUUUGGAGUAUUGGGAGAGAAAUGGAAUUAUUUGUAGUUGAAUUGGACUUAUUGGCCAAUUAAUUGGGUGAUAGAUCGAAUUAGGCCAAUACCAUUUUAUUUAGGUACAUAAUUGAAUUUAUAUUGAACACCUUAUGUAGAUAGUUACCCGAGUAUUUCACAUCCCAUUUCAUGCAUUAGUAUAGAGCCUGAAUUGGUUUUAUAACAAUUUAGCACAAAUGUAGUAAAUGGUUUAUUGGCAAAGAAAUUAUACUCGAGGAUCAAUAGUCGGAGUACUCCAAAAUUCAAACUCCUAAUACAGUGAGUAACCUUAUUAUCGUCUUAAUUAUCUAAUGUAGUUUUAUUCAUUUUUGUGAUUUGAUAGAAAAAUGAGUUUAAAUGGUAAAUCUUUAUGUUUUAUAAGCAAAAUGUGAUUAAAUGAAAUGAUUUUAUAAAAUUGUCUUGAAAUUGAAAGAUGGUUUUGAAAAUGGAGUAAUUGGAUACUGAUUGCUGUGUUAUAAAUCAUGGUUUGAAUUGAAUGGCUUAUGAUAAUAUUGGCAUGAAUGGUUGGAUUUGGUAAAUGUGCUGAAAAAGUAUGAACUGUUGAUUUGCCUUGAGAGGCUGUAAAAUGAAAUAAUUGCCAUGUCAUGCUGUUGAAUUUUAUUGAAUUGGUGGGUUAUAAUUGGUCGUUGCAGUGGACGGGUUCCGUGGACCAGCCUAUUAGAGGGGCAUGGUAACCCUAUUAUAUUCAUACCUCAGUAUGAGAGGCGCGGUUGGAUAACUCCUGAGGUUAAAACUUUAGAGUUCACUUCACUCUAAACCACCACGUGAGAGUGAACUCAGCCAACGCCAACGAACGGCUAUGUUUUCAAAAUAAAAACAUGAUUUAUGCGUACACAACUUUUUAACAGCCUUGGCGACUCGGUUGGGAUAGCCCUCGGCCAAGGUAUCCCUGAUAACUGAGUAUGAGAAUGAUUUUGGCACAAGCCAAACUUUUCAGAAAAUCAUAAGCCUCGUUGUUUAUUUUGGUGAAAUGAAUCUAUUUUAUCUUAUUAAAGUGAGUUCGAAAUGCUGAGAGUCAAUUUUUAUGCUAAUCUAUUUUAUCUGUCUCCAUUUAGUCAGCUUUAGAUAUUUUAGAUGUUAUUUGUUUACUCACUGAGAUUAUAUAAUCUCACCACCCUCCUUUCCACCCAUUUCAGGCUCAAGAUAGUCGGUAAAUAGCUCAUUUUGUUAAAGGCUACAGUUGGACUUGCAUCCUCAAAAACUGUAGGUUUACCACUUUUGAUACUUUUGGUCGUUUGUGGGCCCACGUGUCACUGUAAAUUAAAUUUUAUACUUUGGUUAUCUGUAUUACAGUAUGUAUGAAUUUAUUUAGCUUUUACGCUACAAAAAAUUAUUUACCGGUAACUCUAUAAAUAUUGUUUUAUAAGAAAAUAGAAUAUUUUAUUAAAUAUUUUUAUUAUA
rnacentral:lncRNA from 1 species